rnacentral:rRNA from 1 species
AUACGGAGGAUCCGAGCGUUAUCCGGAUUUAUUGGGUUUAAAGGGUGCGCAGGCGGCCAUUUAAGUCAGCGGUUAAAUCGUGGGGCUCAACCCCAUUCUGCCGUUGAUACUGGGUGGCUUGAUUGCGGUCGAGGUUGGCGGAAUUCGUUGUGUAGCGGUGAAAUGCAUAGAUAUGACGAAGAACACCGAUUGCGGAGGCAGCUGACCAGACCGCAAAUGACGCUCAUGCACGAAAGUGCGGGGAUCGAACAGGAUUAGAUACCCUGGUAGUCCGCACAGUAAACGAUGAAUACUUGUUUUCGGCGAUAUAAUGUCGGAGGCAAAGCGAAAGCGAUAAGUAUUCCACCUGGGGAGUACGCCGGCAACGGUGAAACUCAAAGGAAUUGACGGGG